rfam:Phaseolus vulgaris cultivar G19833 chromosome 8, whole genome shotgun sequence.
AACCCAUGAUGUGGGCAUUUUCUUAGCAUCAUUUUGAACCACUCCCAUGUCUCACAGAAAGAUUCAUCUGCUCCUUGUUUGAACAUAAAAAUUUCAUACUUUGCUU